CCUACGGGUGGCAGCAGUCGAGAAUCAUUCACAAUGGGGGAAACCCUGAUGCUGCGACGCCGCGUGGGGGAAUGAAGGUCUUCGGAUUGUAAACCCCUGUCAUGUGGGAGCAAAUUCAAAAGAUAGUACCACAAGAGGAAGAGACGACUAACUCUGUGCCAGCAGCCGCGGUACUACAGAGGGCUCAAGCGUUGUUCGGCAUCACUGGGCGUAAAGCGUGCGUAGGCUGUUUCGUAAGUCGUGUGUGAAAGGCGCGGGCUCAACCCGCGGACGGCACCUGAUACUGCGAGACUAGAGUAAUGGAGGGGGAAGCGGAAUUCUCGGUGUAGCAGUGAAAUGCGUAGAUAUCGAGAGGAACAC
rnacentral:rRNA from 1 species